GACGAACGCUGGCGGCGUGCUUAACACAUGCAAGUCGAACGGAAAGGCCCUGCUUUUGUGGGGUUCUCGAGUGGCGAACGGGUGAGUAACACGUGAGUAACCUGCCCUUGACUUUGGGAUAACUUCAGGAAACUGGUGCUAAUACCGGAUAGGAGCUCCUGCUGCAUGGUGGGGGUUGGAAAGUUUAGGCGGUUGGGGAUGGACUCGCGGGUUAUCAGCUUGUUGGUGGGGUAGUGGCUUACCAAGGCUUUGACGGGUAGCCGGCCUGAGAGGGUGACCGGCCACAAUGGGACUGAGAUACGGCCCAGACUCCUACGGGAGGCAGCAGGGGGGAAUAUUGCACAAUGGGCGGAAGCCUGAUGAAGAAACGCCGCGUGCGGGAUGAAGGCCUUCGGGUUGUAAACCGCUUUAGCCUGUGACGAAGCGUGAGUGACGGUAAUGGGUAAAGAAGCACCGGCUAACUACGUG
rnacentral:rRNA from 1 species